AUUGAACGCUGGCGGCAGGCUUAACACAUGCAAGUCGAGCGGUAACAGAGGGAAGCUUGCUUCUCUGCUGACGAGCGGCGGACGGUUGAGUAAUGCCUAGGAAUCUGCCUAGUAGUGGGGGAUAACUUGCCGAAAGGUAAGCUAAUACCGCAUACGUCCUACGGGAGAAAGGAGGGGACCUUCGGGCCUUUCGCUAUUAGAUGAGCCUAGGUCGGAUUAGUUAGUUGGUGAGGUAAUGGCUCACCAAGACCGCGAUGCGUAACUGGUCUGAGAGGAUGAUCAGUCACACUGGAACUGAGACACGGUCCAGACUCCUACGGGAGGCAGCAGUGGGGAAUAUUGGACAAUGGGGGGAACCCUGAUCCAGCCAUGCCGCGUGUGUGAAGAAGGUCUUAGGAUUGUAAAGCACUUUAAGUUGGGAGGAAGAGCAGUUAACUAAUAUUUGACUGUUUUGACGUUACCGACAGAAUAAGCACCGGCUAACUUCGUGCCAGCCGCCGCAGUAA
rnacentral:rRNA from 1 species